rnacentral:tRNA from 1 species
GUUUCCAUAGUGUAGUGGUUAUUACAUCUGCCUCACACGCAGAAGGUCCCUGUUUUGGAAACA